UGAAACAUGGCGAAACAAAUUGUUGCUAUUGUAUACUUAUUUUUCUGUGAUUCCGAAUACUGAAUUGAACUUCGUUUGUAAAGUCGACCGUCAUUACAACAAGUUGACUUAUCACUUAUCAGUCAAUUUCCAUCCGGCCAUUAGAUCCUUAUACUCUCAAAAGCCUGAAACUCAUAUUUGAAGCUCACAUACAGUGGAAUAAGACAAAAGUUAUUACUCAUGGACCAUAGGAUAUUUUCUGAAUCUUGCAAGUGUAACCUGUGUCAGAAUGUUUGUCGAGUGUACAACUGUUUCUACACUAUACAGCCGUUCAGAAGGCAACCCAGCUGAGAGAGUUCCAGUUUCAGUGAAUGAACAUGAAGUGUGUGAAGUGUAUUUAGUACAUUUACCAGAUCUGCUUGAUGAAAGUCAAAUGCCUUACUGAAUUCGUCACCCAAAUGAUAAAGAACUAUUUGUGACGUCCCCUGAGAUCGAGAGUCGGCCGCCAGUUUCAAUCUACAACGCAGUUUCUUCAUGGAAUCGUGAGGUCCUGGCACGGAGAUCCUUGAGCCAACGCUGGCUUUUGUCCAUGACAGAAAAGGGACUUCCACCAACGUUCGGAUGCUUAUCUUCACGACGUACGCUGCUUCUUGUGCUUCACUGUUGAAUUAAAUCACUUCAGUGUUCGCUUCCGUCCGCUGUGAAAUACCUGCAGUCACUCGCCACGGGAUUAUGCCCAGAGGAGACCGCGAGAAGAUGGACGCCGGUAACGCCGGUAACUCCAAAAUGUCAGCGCGGAUCAUCAUUUGUUGUUGGUAAUAUUUGUGUUUGUGUUAGUGAACCCGUUG